UACGUAGGGUGCAAGCGUUGUCCGGAAUUAUUGGGCGUAAAGAGCUCGUAGGCGGUCUGUCGCGUCGGCUGUGAAAACUCGGGGCUCAACCCCGAGCUUGCAGUCGAUACGGGCAGGCUAGAGUUCGGCAGGGGAGGACUGGAAUUCCUGGUGUAGCGGUGAAAUGCGCAGAUAUCAGGAGGAACACCGGUGGCGAAGGCGGGUCUCUGGGCCGAUACUGACGCUGAGGAGCGAAAGCGUGGGGAGCGAACAGG
rnacentral:rRNA from 1 species